rnacentral:rRNA from 1 species
CUACCAUGCAGUCGAGCGAAGUGAGAUUAGAAGAAAUCUUCGGAUGGAAUCUAAACUUAUCUUAGCGGCGGACGGGUGAGUAACGCGUGAGGAACCUGCCUUUCACAAAGGGAUAGCCUCGGGAAACUGGGAUUAAUACCUUAUGAAACUAUAAUAUCGCAUGGUAAGAUAGUUAAAGCGAAAGCGGUGAAAGAUGGACUCGCGUCCCAUUAGUUAGUUGGUGAGGUAAAGGCUCACCAAGGCAGCGAUGGGUAGCCGGCCUGAGAGGGUGAACGGCCACACUGGAACUGAGAGACGGUCCAGACUCCUACGGGAGGCAGCAGUGGGGAAUAUUGCACAAUGGAGGGAACUCUGAUGCAGCGACGCCGCGUGAACGAAGAAGGCUUUCGGGUCGUAAAGUUCUGUCCUUGGGGACGAUAAUGACGGUACCCAAGGAGGAAGCCCCGGCUAACUACGUGCCAGCAGCCGCGGUAAUACGUAGGGGGCGAGCGUUGUCCGGAAUUAUUGGGCGUAAAGGGUUCGCAGGCGGUUACAUAAGUCAGAUGUGAAAGCCAUAGGCUUAACCUAUGUAAGCAUUUGAAACUGAGUAACUUGAGUUAAGGAGAGGAAAGUGGAAUUCCUAGUGUAGCGGUGAAAUGCGUAGAUAUUAGGAGGAAUACCAGUGGCGAAGGCGACUUUCUGGACUUAAACUGACGCUGAGGAACGAAAGCGUGGGGAGCAAACAGGAUUAGAUACCCUGG